GGCCCGGUGUUGGGAGGAAGAAAAGUCAGGACCAGCCAGGCUGGGGACAGACCAGGGCCUGUUGCUUGUGGUCCCCCAGUCGGCCGUGGGUCCCUCGGCCUCCUGCAGGUGCUCGGCUCACCUGCUCUGUGCUCCACAGCCCAGGGCGCAGCAGGCACCCUAAGGACAGCCCCACCCCCCGGGUCCGGGCCAGCUCCACAGGCUCCUCCUGGUCCAAACAUGGCGAGACCGGCACUGUUUCAAGGGCAGCUGGAGUCCAGUGUAUGCUGACCAGCGUGGUGCCUCGGCGGGCUGUCCGCAGGGCCACAAGGUGGACAGGCACCCACAGCUCCGCCCCCUCACCAGGUCCACCGCUGCAGACCCGAGGCCCCGGCGCGGCGCGGCGCGGCGCGGCUCUACCAGCGGCCGUGCUACACUCACACGCGCACACUCGCAUAGGCCUCUGCGCACGCUUCCCUCUGCCCGGAACGCAGGUCAGAGCUCCCAUGAAACGCCCUCCACGGAGGCCCAGUCGGGGCUGCUCCCUCCUCUGCUCGCGGAACCAACUGUCACAGGGCGUGCGUUUCACACUCCUUGUGCCACUGGGAUUUGGUUACCUGUGUGCCCUCUUACACCACGAGGUGCUCAAGGUCGGGAGCUGCGAAUCCAUGUGCACUGAGAACUGUGCCGAGACACAGCAGGUAUUCGUUUGGAUGAAGAACACAUUCAGCUCUCUGGAAGAUCUUUGCAGUUAACUAUGACAUAAGGAGCAACAGUAAGUAACGGUUGAAAGCUACUGGAAGAACAUGAAGCCCACGUCGUAAAGAGGGCCCUUCUCAGCUACUUGGAUGAAAUGUCGGGAAUUCAAGCCCAGGGGUGUGUGUGUGUGCGUGUGCGCGCGCAUGCCUAUAAUCCCAGCGCUUUGGGAGGCUAAGGCUGGGGGACUGCAAAUUCCAGCCCAUCCUGGGCAACUCAGUGAUUUAGUGAGAGCCUGCCUCAAGAAAAAAAACAUAAUAAAAGGGCUGAGGAUGUAGCUCAGUGCGAAGGCCUGGGUUCAAUCCCCAGUACACAAACAAGAGUUGAGUGAUGUACGCCUGUGACCCCAGCACUCUGGGAGGCUGAAGCGGGAGGACUGCAAGUUUCAGCCCAGCCUGGGCAAUUGAGAAAUUUAGUGAGACCCUGUUUCAAAAUUAAAUCAGGACUGAAGAAAUAGUGCACUGCAAAGACCUGGGGUUCAACCCCCAGGGCAAAGAAGGAAGAGAAGGAGGGGGAGAGGGGAGGGGAGGGGAGGAGGGGAAACUGGAGAAGGAGAAAUCACUAGAAAAAGAGAAUUCCAAACAGCCACACAUAUGGAACUGAGAAGAGAUGGGCCAGGGCUGUCAUUACCUUAGGAAGCAGAAAGUUCUGUGACUUUCAAAGCCUUGUACGCUUUGUAAAGGAAACUUACAGUAACUUUGAAAUAAGUUUUUACACGUUUAUGUAAACGUGAACUCUUGGAAAUAAAUAUUCCAAACACUUGUAAAUAGUAUCUUUAAUAUCUCACACAUGAAUUAAUACAUAAAAUGAGGCUAACAUAGAUGCAAAGCUACUCCCAGAAACCUCAGCACAGAGCUUGACAUACCUGUUUUUAAGAGCCCUGAAUCUGUUACACUCACUAAAGGACCAACUAUUAAAACAUCUUUUCCAAUUAAUUUCCCAUCUGCUGCUUGCUAAGUUGCCCAGCAUGGUCCUGAACUUGAAAUCCUCCUGCCUCAGCCUUCGAAGAUUCUGGGAUUACAGGCAUGCACCCUCACAAGCCCUGGCCCCAACCUUAAAACUGCAGGGCUUUGACUGUUCCUUGGCAGCACCAGUGGCUGAACUCAAGGCUUCUCACUGAGCUACACACUAGUCCUUUCUUUUUCAGAUAGGGUCUCGCUAAAUCACUACACUGCCCAAGAUGGGCUUGAAUUUGCAACCCUUCUGCCUCAGCUUCCCAGAGUGCUGGGUAGCCGGGUGCACCAUGAGCCCAGCUUAAUUUUGGCAUGAAUUGCCUUGAUCAUUCUAGUCCACAGAAAUGUACAUGAAGAUGCUUCCCGCCUGCGCAGAGCCUGCUGAGCUCUUACAGGCCAGCAUCCUCCCUGACCAUGGGUUAUGCAAAACCUCCACAGUUUUGCCACUCUGUGCCUAUGUGUUCUUCUCUAAUUGUAAUCAUUAUUUCACAUCCCCUUGCCAGUAACUUCCUCUAACAGCCUUAGGAAGGGCAGUCCUGAGCAAAAUAGGUUUUGUUUUUACUGUUUUUACAUUUUCUAUUUUUUGGCAGGCCUCACUGUCCUCAAACUCACUACAUAGCCCAGGCUGGCCUUGAACUCAUGAUCCUCCCAUGUCAGCCUCCCAAGUGCUGGGAUUACAGUCACAACCCCUCACCCAGCUCAUUUUACUUUCUAAACCUUGCUAUAACAGAAUUUAUCUGGUAAGAGUUAAGGUGUUUCAUAAGUACUGUAAUGUCGAGAUAAAUUGCCCACCAACGUUAUCUUAGGUUUUACUCUAUUCUCUUUGAUCAUCAGAAAAAGAAAACCAAGGAAAGCAUUUAUUCUUAACCAUAAUACUCUUUAUUUCGAAGUUCUCAUGGAAAAAAUACUUUAUGUAUUCUGUAAAAGGAAAUUAUUAAAGUAUAAUCUCAGAUGUUAAAAACAUGUUUGUUUUUUCAAUUGUUUGUUUUGAGACAGGGUCUCACUAAGUAGUCCAAGCUGGCCUCAAAUUAAUGGUGAUUCCCCCUGCCUCAGCCUCCGGAAUGCUAAGAUUCCAGCCAUUCAUCACCACACUCAGCUUUAAUUCCUGUUUUGGUAAUAUUGAAACCACAUCCCAUGCACAGUAACUCUUCUCCAACUUGGCAUUUACAUAUGGAAUCCAUUACUUCAGUGAAAGAAACACUUAACAAAAUUCAGACAUUUAAGGUUUAUUUCCUAGUUCACCAAUGUUGCACCCUAAAAUACCAAUGAUUUUAAAACGGUGUUAAAAACUAAAGUCUCUAAGUGUUAAGCUAUUAAGUAUUUGCACUGUUCAGUUUUCAGAAGUCCCUCUAAAUGGAACGGGACACCUGAGCACCUUCCUGGUAAGUCCCCGACUCACGCAGGAGUUGUUCCUCAGUCCCACAAAAUGCAUUUUAUACACCUCUGACAACAGUGUGCAAUGUAGCCAGUCGCGUCGGUGCACCCUGCAAUCCCACCACUUGGGAGACUGAGGCAGGAGGAUCAUUCUGAGUUCGAGACCAGCCUGGAAUACAUAGUGAGUACAAGGCCAGCCUGAAUUAGAGCAACACCUUGUCUCAAAACAAAACAAACCAUUAAGCCAGAUGUGGCGACACACACCUAAAACCCAGCACUCAAAAGAGGCUGAACCAGGAGGAUUUCGAGGGCAGCCUGAACUAAAUAGUGAGACCCUGUCUCAAAAAAAAAGUAAAGCUUUUCCUUUUGCUUCCAGACAUCCUGGGCUCUGAUGGGGUGCCGCACUACUGGGCACCAUCACACUGUACAGUGAGCACACGGCAGCACAGCUGUGCCUGUGCCAGGCAGACACAUGAGCUACUUCUGCAGUUUGUUCGAGAUUACAACCACCAAAGUUCGCAACGCGAAGUCCAUUCAUAUUGGUGAAAGCUUGCAACUGGAAUGUUCCUAAAUCUGGGACUUACUGUAAACUACUUCCACAGUACGCCUGGCUCAGUAUUCUGGCCUAAUAGAUAGUUGUAGAGAAAAAUCAAACUAGGGGAAACAAAAUCAGACAAAUAUUUAUAAUGGUAAUAAUCUGAAACUUUCCCCUCCUUUUCAUGAAAUAACAAUUCUACACAAGAUUUUUGGGUUUUUCGGUUGCUUUUUUUUUAGACAGGACCUCACUGUGUAGUUCAGGCUGGCCUUCAACUAUGUAGCCCAGGCUGGCCUCGAACAUGUAGCUAUCCUCCGGCCUCUGCCUCCCGGGUGUUGGGAUCACAGGUGUGCGCCACCACGCCGGGCAAGAUUUUAAUUCUGCAGUGACUCGCCCCUGUAGGAAACCUAGGAUGCAGUCUCUUACCGACGGGGUCUGGAGUUUGUUAAAACUCAUCAGUAGAGGCAAAUUUCAUCAACUUUCUGGGACAAUGCAAAAGCAAAACGACUAAAAAGCUCUUCUGUGUUUACACAUCCGAUAAAAAUGUAUUCUCAUAUUCUUACAAAGAUACACAAAGGAUCGCCGUCAUGACGUCACGCUCACAAGGGUGACCCCGGGGCGCCUGUGACACCCCUGUAUCCAGACUCACGACGCUGUGACUCUCAACACGGAACCAGCGACGCACUAACCACUGCUCAUGCGGGAUCAAAGUCACUUUAAAGAGCUGGGCUUAGAACAAGAGUUUUAAUAAUCAGCAUUUAUCGGCCCAAACACGGUGUUUAAAUCUAAGUUCAGAGAUUAAAGACGAGUGUGAGUGACAAAGGAAAACGGGCUGCUUAUAAAGAGGAAACCGAGGGCAGGAGAACCUCUGGCAUCAAGGAGAGGAAAAACAGAGACGUGGAGCGCUGCGCCCCGGCCUGGUCCGCACCGCGAGAUCCGGCGGCAGAGGAGG
rnacentral:lncRNA from 1 species